AUAUAGGGUUACAUGAGAUAAGCAUAAAUCUGUUCCUAAGAUAUUAGAUAUAUACAAAUAUAAGAUUCUCAUAUAUAUAAUCUAACAGAAAGACAGAGAUCAUAAGAAGAAGAAAAAAGAAUGAUUCAGUUUGAUAUUUUUAU
rnacentral:sRNA from 1 species